rnacentral:rRNA from 1 species
AAUGAAUGCUUAAGGCAUGCUUAACUCAUGCAAGUCUAAUGGGUAUCACUUUUUUGAUAGAACCAUGGCGAAUACGUGAGUAAUACUUUGGAACUAAACCCUAAGUAUCCAAUAAUUUUAAAAUAUUUUAAAAAAAUAGGAUAUAAAAAAAGAUUUUAUCGCUUAGGGCUAGGCUGGAGCUGUAUCAAGGUAGUUGGUAGGGUAAGGGCCUACCAAGCCGAUGACGCAUAGCUGGUUUGUGAGAACGUGAAGCCACGCCGGGACUGAAAUAAAGCCCGGAUCUUUUCGAAGGUCAGCAGAGUGGAAUUUUGGACAAUGAGCUAAAGCUUGAUCCAGCAAUGUCUUGUGGGAGAUGAAAGGUCUAGGUAACCGUAAAACCAUAAUCUGAAGAGAAUAAUGAUGUUAUUCAGAAAUAAAGCCCCGGCGAACUUCGUGCCAGCCGCCGCCGUAACAC